AACGAACGCUGGCGGCGUGGAUAAGACAUGCAAGUCGAACGGAAUUACUUUUGUAGCAAUACAGAAGUAAUUCAGUGGCGAACGGGUGCGUAACACGUGGGCAAUCUGCCGAAAAGUGGGGGAUAGCUCGCCGAAAGGCGAAUUAAUACCGCAUGUGGUGAGGGACGACAUCUUCCUGAAUCCAAAGCCGGGGCAACCUGGCGCUUUUUGAGGAGCCCGCGGCCUAUCAGCUGUUGGUGAGGUAACGGCUCACCAAGGCUUUGACGGGUAGCUGGUCUGAGAGGACGACCAGUCACACUGGAACUGAGACACGGUCCAGACACCUACGGGUGGCAGCAGUCGAGAAUUUUUCUCAAUGGGGGAAACCCUGAAGGAGCGACGCCGCGUGGAGGAUGAAGGCUUUCGGGUU
rnacentral:rRNA from 1 species